rnacentral:lncRNA from 1 species
UUUUUUUUUUUUUUUUUUUUUUUUUGGUUUUUCGGGCCGCACACAAGGCAUGUGGAGGUUCCCAGGCUAGGGGUCAAAUUGGAGCUACAGCUGCUGGCCUUCACUACAGCCACGUCAGAUCCGAGCCACAUCUGCGACCUACACCACAGCUCGUGGCAAUGCCAGAUCCUUAACCCACUGAGCAAGGCCAGGGAUCAAACCCACAACCUCAUGGUUCCUACUCGGAUUCAUUGCUGUUGCGCCAUGACCAGAACUCCAAGCUCUUUUAUUUUAUUUUUUUUUUUACUGGAGAAGGACUGAAUAAAUGAGGAGACACAGAAAGUAAUGCUAAAGAAGGGUGUGCCUUUAUAAUUACGAGAUCAAAAGGCGACCACCUGAGUCCUUGGCCCCCUCCCGCCGCCCCAUGUUUCUCUACAGCAUCUUGUAAAUGGAUAGCUUACCAAAGUUAAAAGUUCACGAUGGCCACUCUAAUUCAAGGUUAUAUUGAUAAGUUUAACCUGCUAUUUCAUCCUUAAAGUGAAAUUGUAUUCACCUGAGGCCUCGCAGGGGCUCUGCUCCAGCUUAAGUCAGAUCCACUCUUGACCCCAGACUAGAUCCUGACAAUGUCAGAUGUGAGCAGUUUUUCAGAGGCAGGCCAGCAAAAACAAUGCUCACAGGGUCAGAAAGCUCAUAAGGCAAAAACUUUGGACCCAGGACCCAAGACCGAGAGGACCAGCCCAGUGCCUCCAGAGGCAGCAGGAGAAGCGCGAGGACAAGGGACUCAGCAGGUACCUUUCCUGGUUGCUCAGGCUCUUGGGGGCUGUGGAGUCUCUUUCCAGUCCCCCUCUGACACCAGAGCUGUUCAAAGAUUAAACCGGUGUGUAUUAAAAAUUCUAAGAACAAAAGUUGAUUGGAAUCAGGGAGCAUCCAGUGUAUCAGGGGGAGAGAAACUCUGAGAAGCUGCACAAAACGAAGGACUUUUGUGAGCAGGAGGGAGCGGGAGCAAGGGAGUUUUCUUAGUCAAAAGGCAUGGUUUUUGCAGAGUUACUUUCCUAGAGGGGCGGCAGGACCAUCAGGGGCUUCUGAUAGACUUAUUUAAGGUUCCACUUCUGGGAGAACUGCUGCUGUUUGUCUCGGUUUGGUGACGUGGGGCUUAGGAUAAGCUCCUGUAUUUUGGGGUCUGUGUCUUGUUUUUACCAAGGGCUGAGGCCCUGUCUUUAUCUUUGUUGGAAAGAGAGGGUGGAGGUGACAUUCCGGGCACUGAAAUGGCAGAUGCAAACUUUGUUUUCAUGUCCGUGUGUGCUCAGACCUUGUGAGAAGUACAGCUGGUCGAUGUUUGCUUUUUUCCUGCACCCGAAGUAAGUUCGUGUUAACCAUCAAUACUGAAAACACUGCUUUUGGUUCAAAGUAUGAUCAGAUUCCUUGUUUUAAUGGCCACAAGUUCAGCAGAUAAUAGGAGCAAAGCUACCCAAUCAAGGCAUGAAUAGAGCAGUUGUACUAACUCAGUCCCAAUCCUGUGUCCUGGGAGGCCGUGGGGCAGGUAUUAAAUUUUGUUUCACUUGUUACCAAGAAUCCCGUUUUCCUCUGGGCGCCUCAAAUCUCACAAUCUCCUACCCAAGCAAUUAGAAAUCAUCCUUGAAAGCACACUUUGGAGAAAAGAAAAUCCAUUGCAUAGUUUGUUUCUGAAGCUUAAUGUAAUUUAAGCUUAGGUUUUGUCUUUGGAAAAUUACACCAGGAAAACAUGUAUUUCAGAUGACCUUGAACAUUCUAAUGUCUGUGCCACGACAACUAGGACUUUGCACCGGGAAGGGACCAGGACUUGGGUUCUGAACAUGGCCUUGGAGUUCCAGCGUGACUGGGAAGACAGCUACCUUGCUGGGCUGCUCUGUGUUCUUUUCAUGAGGUUUCCUUGGCAAAUAAAUGGCUGGAGAAAAUGGUUUGUAAAUUUAGAAUACUCUGCAAGGAGUAGUAAUUUGCAUAAUUUCAAACUCUUGGAGGAGACAUCUUGUAAACUGCACCUAAGUGUGAUCCAUCAUCAUCUAUUUAUCGUGUCAGUACUAAAAUGAUGAAUGAUGCUUGCUGGUGUAGAUGUAAAAAUGAACCUUUCCAUCACAGAGCAGACAUAUCUGAAAGUACAGCGGGAGUCAUCACUGUUGGAUGAGACCCUUUUUAUUUUUUAUUAUCUUAUUUUUGUCUUUUUAGGGCUGCACCCACGGCAUAUAGAGGCUCCCAGGCUAGGGGUCCAAUUGGAGGUAUAGCUGCUGGCCUGCACCACAGCCACAGCCAUGCCAGAUCCAAGCCAUGUGUGCAACUUACACUGCAGCUCAUGGCAAUGCAGGAUCCUUAACCCAUGGAGCGAGGCCAGGGAUGGGACAUCGUGCAUCCUCAUGGAUGCUAGUCAGAUUCCUUUGUGCUGAGCCAUGGUGGGAACUCGAUGAGAUUCUUUGUAGAAGCCAGGUUGAGACAGCUGGUUUUCUUUUCCUGUAAUUCCUUGCUUUUGGGUUUAAAGUAAAUGACCCUUUAGAGGAUACACUGUAUACAGGAAAAUCAAAAGACGGUUGUAUUACGUGAUCCCUAAAAUCCUUCAAAAGAAAGUUCUUUGUAACAAAAUACCUUCCCUGUCGAAAAAUACCUUCCGCAUCAACCUCCAGAGUUUCUAUGUGUAGUGAAUGCGUGUAGUGUCAUAUUCUUUAUCUUCUUGGACUUGUAACAUCUAAGUGACUGUGUGGCCUCCUAAAUAAUUGAACUGCUCGCUUUUCGCACUUUCAGGGACUGGGUGGCUGACGUGUGCGAGAGCUGUGCCCUUUUCUGAUUUUCAUCAGAUUCUCGGCAAAACAACUUUAUUUUACUCCACCCUCAUAUUUUUAUUGCGUCCAUCAUCCAAAACAAAAACUACUUAAAUGAAAACUCUGUACUUGAAAGGUUCUGUUCUUUCUCAGUAUAGUAUCUAAAACUAUUCCAUUUCCUUAAAUCAAAAUAUAUAAAUGUAUAUGAUAUAAAUGCUUAGGAUAAGGAAGGAAGAAAGAAGGAUGGUGAAAUAAAUAGGACAGCUCUCAGGUUUCCCUGACACCAGAAACACCUGUCUUACUUGCUAAUGUGCACAGAUAGGUUUGGUCCAGCUUCAUCUGCCAUCCUCUGCCCCACGGCAGCCAAGAUGAUGUGUGAUUCUUCCUGAGAACAAGAACUGGGACCCGUGGUGGGGUGAGCAUAAAGGGGUGGGAUAUCCCCCCUGUUCUAAUAAGGUAGGAAUGGCUUGUGACCUCUCCUCCUAUUCCCUAAAACCUCAUGUUGAACCACCGAGGACGCAGGAAAGUUGUUUCUUUUAAUUAAUUCACUUAUUUAUUUUUGUCAAUUUAUUGUCUUUUUAGGUCCUCACCCGUGGCAUAUGGAGGUUCCAAGGCUAGGGGUUGAAUCAGAGCUGCAGCCCCCAGUCUAUACCACAGCCACAGCAAUGCCAGAUCUGAGGCACGUCUGCGACCUUCACCACAGCUCACAGCAAUGCGAGAUCCUUAACCCACUGAGUGAGGCCAGGGAUUGAACCGGCAACCUCAUGGUUCCUAGUUGGAUUCAUUUCUGCUGUGCCAUGAUGGGAACUCGGGAAAGGUGCCUUAAUCAGAAAGGCUGGCAAUCUGGGGAGAAGGUGGACUCAUGUCCAGAGAACUCUGAAGAUUCCACUGAACCAUAUGGUAAUUUUUAAAUGGAAAAGGGGAAAGAAUCUCAGUGAAUCAUCAGUUGUUGGCUUCUGCAUCAUCCCUUUUUUUUUCUUGCUUUUUAGGGCCUCAUACAAGGCAUAUGGAAGUUCCCAGCCUAGGGGUCAAAUCAGAGCUGUAGCUGCCAGCCUACGCCACAGCCACAGCAACGUGGGAUCUGAACUGCGUCUGUGACCUACACCACAGCUCACGGCACUGUCAGAGCCUUAAUCCCCUGAGCAAGGCCGGAGAUUGAACCCUAGUCCUCAUGGAUGCCAGUCGGAUUCAUAUCCAUUGUGUCACAACAGGAGCUCCUUCUGCAUCAUUGUUGAUUGUUUGCAGUCUUGCCGACUUUUCAGAUAUUAUCUUGCCUGUAUGAUCUCUGUCCACCUGCCGGAUAGGAUUGGCUAAGGGAGCUGUGGAGAGUAGAGAGCUAGUCAUUCUUCAAUUAUUUAAUUUUUCAUUCUUAUUUUUUCUGUCUAGGAAAAGAAUCAACAGGUUAGGCAAGGUUGUGCGUUCAGGAGAGCCUAAGUCUGGAGUUAGGAUAAACUGCCUAGGGAUCUCAUUCCUAUCAUUUCAUUCUUGUAAAGUUAGAGGGGAAGAGAAAUGGGCCAACAGGAAGCGUGUAAAAGAGCUGCUUUGAAUUCCCCACUGUCAAACAUCAUUGCAUUUUUCCCUGGGAUUCGGGGUGAAGGUCCCUCUUAGGUACCUUCUUCAGGAUGUUGGGGGGCACCGUAUUCUCAGCGUGGAAGAUGUCGCCGUGGCUCCAGUAGCCUUUCUUUCCUGACAUUUUUAGUUGUCUGCCUACAUACACGGGCAGAACCAAGCUACAACUAUUUUCAUGCUCACAAAGAUACAGAUUAUUAUGGGCAAUGAUGUUAAUCUCCUUCUCCUGGGGCCACUUCUUGGAAUUGUGCCGGCCAUAGCAUCCUCCAGCGCGUGUCAAGGCCACCGGUCAUCAUCCAGUUAGCUUUUUUCCCUCUGGGGGUAGUUAGAGUAUCUGUAAAACAAGCCAGGAAUGUGAAUCAGACACGGAGUCUGCAAUUCCAUUGUCCUAAUCAUUAACUGCUCUUCUAUGACUCUGCGAGGCCUGAGAGACUUGAGCUUUUCUAUACAAAAGAGGCAGGAGACAGAGAAAGGCUGUUGUCCUUGGGGGACCCUGCAGGGUUCUGCUUGGUUUUGUUAUCAAAUCCAAGUGUGUGUGCUGGACACACAAUGAGGCCA